rnacentral:rRNA from 1 species
GUGAGAUCGCGGGAAGAAUAGGGGGAGGAGAUACUCAGGGACGCGAUGGAGGUGUGCGUGAAGAGGGACGGUGUGCGCGGAGAUGGGGGGGGAUGAACGGGAGGUGAAGUGGAGAAUAUGACGGGAGCGGUAGGCGAAGAGCGAUGAGAUGGUGCGGAGCUGGGGUAAGGACGACGAGGCCAGAGUAGGGGAGGCGGGAGAGCUGAGAGACAUAAAUGCGGAGAGGGCGGGGGAAGUGGUGGCAGGCAAUGUGUGAGGGUUCGAAGGGGAGAAGAUAGGGGUAGACCGAGACGAUGCGGGCGUGAGAGAUGGUGGGCAUGAAGUGGGAUCGAAGGCGGGAAAGAGCGCGGACUGUGGGUCGCGAACAUACAGGGUGGAGGGGCGACAGGAGAGGUGGUGUUCUCGGGAUGGGCUGAGGAUACACGAUGGAUGCAUGUUUCUCCGUAAGUUGCGUGUACGUGAGAGGUUGGGUGUAAGUCCUCGCAAGCGAGGGGCGACCGUUGUCUUCAUGGUGGGACGCAGGUCUGGGGGAGCACUGGUGAGAGACUGACCCGGAUCAACUGGGAGGAAGGUGGGGAAGACAUCAAAUAAUCAUGCCUCUUAUCACCACGACACCAAACAGGGUACUAUGGUCGGUACAGCAGGUUGCGACGCCGUGAGAUGGAGAUGAUCGGGAAAAAUCACACUCAUUUUAGGACAGGGGUUUGCCACUUGACCCCAGGGAGUGGGGGUCGUUAGUGUUCGAAGAGCAUGUAUUAAGCAGGCGCAUAAGUUUUUCGUCCUGUAGUACAGGAUCACACUUUAG